rnacentral:misc_RNA from 1 species
GCAACGACUCCGUGUGUCAUUCCUAACAUGUUUGUAACGAAGUUCUUAUCUUCUUACUUCCAAGGCAGCAAGCUCUACCUCCCUUCCAGUACUCGUGCCACAGAUCGUUUCACCAGUCGGUACCGGGGGAUAGCUGUGGAUCAACGAUGGCACUCGUCAGCUCAGCCACCCAACUGCAAACAAAUGAAGAAAAUAAGUGGCGGGAGUGUUCA